AGCCAUGAUGUGGGAAGACGAGUAAGAGUUCCUUAAAAUGUUCCAAACAUUGAAAGAAAGUUUUAUUCUCCUUUUGGGAGAAAUUAAUGAUAUUAUGUCUCAGGUU